AAAACAACGGAGGCUGCGGUGUGGUUGGUGGUGAGAUGACGACCUUAGUGCUGGAUAACGGAGCUUACAACGCCAAAAUCGGUUACAGUCAUGAAAAUGUGUCGGUUAUUCCUAAUUGUCAGUUCCGGUCAAAAACAGCACGUCUUAAAACUUUUACUGCCAACCAGAUAGAUGAAAUAAAAGACCCUUCUGGACUCUUUUACAUCCUUCCUUUUCAAAAGGGCUACUUGGUGAAUUGGGAUGUUCAAAGACAAGUUUGGGAUUACCUUUUUGGAAAAGAAAUGUAUCAGGCCAAGCGCGGUGGCUCAUGCCUGUAAUCCUGGCACUUUGGGAGGCUGAGGCGGGUCGAUC
rnacentral:sRNA from 1 species